CAGUAGCCGGGUAAUACAGAGGGUGCGAGCGUUAAUCGGAUUUACUGGGCGUAAAGCGUGCGUAGGCGGCUAAUUGAGUCGGAUGUGAAAUCCCCGAGCUUAACUUGGGAAUUGCAUUCGAUACUGGUUAGCUAGAGUGUGGGAGAGGAUGGUAGAAUUCCAGGUGUAGCGGUGAAAUGCGUAGAGAUCUGGAGGAAUACCGAUGGCGAAGGCAGCCAUCUGGCCUAACACUGACGCUGAGGUACGAAAGCAUGGGGAGCAAACAGGAUUAGAUACCCGCGUAGUCCCUGUCUCUUAUACA
rnacentral:rRNA from 1 species